CUUCAUUGAUUGUUCUCCUUUUCUCUGUUGCAGAGGCUGCAACAUCCCGAACUCAAAGUCCCCCUCUCGAACUCGAAGUCUCUCUCUCAAACUCGAAGUCUCCAUGAGAGCUUUUGUUGGCAUUCCAACGAUUUGGGUAUUGAUUGAUGUUCUGCACUUGCAAUUUGGGGAUCGAUUGAUUUCCUUCCACUUGCAAUUUGGGUUUUGCACUUGCAAUUUGGCCACUUUCAGUCUCAGUUCUGCACUUUCGUGAGAGAGAGGGAGAGAGUCGGCUACGAGCUCGACUUGAGAGAACCGAGGGUAAGAGGGGAGCCAGGCGUGUGAGACUGAGCCGAGAACGUGAGAGUUGGAGUGUCGAGCUGAGGGGAAAGGAAGCGAGAUUGAGCUGAGAGGGUUCGCUAGUCCCGAGAAAGAGAGAGGUGUUGAGCUUGUAUGUUUUGUCUAGAGCUCAGAGAGGGAAGGAAGACGUGAGAGGGCAAGGGAUAACAGACGCUGUAGGGAGUGGAAGCAGAAGGGAAGGAAAGGGAAAAGAGAGAGAAAAAUGAAAGAAUCGAUCAGAGAGGUUCAGAUGGGUCACGGGUAAGAAAGGAAAAACAAAAAACAUAAGAAGUAAGGGGAAGAAGAUAUGAGUUGGUUGUAGGUUUGAAUUGCAGAAAGGGAAGAAGAAAGAAAGGAAAAAGCAUAGCAGGUUCGGGCAAAGAUGCAAAAGAAGAAAAGCAAAAAAAAAAAGAAAAUGAAAGGCCGGAAGCAAAAUGAAGGGGAACAUAUAAAUAAAACAAACAUAGGGUCAAGUCAACCUCUGUUAUAUAUAUAUAUAUAUAUAUUCUUAAAAUAAUAAAUAUUUAUUUAUUUUAUAAUUAAA